AAAAGAAAUUUAAAAAUUAAAAAGAGGCUGGCUGGUUAAGGGCUGUUGAAAUAUUGCCGUGGUAGACCAGAUCGGAGGUCCUGGGUUAGAUUCCAAUGAAUAACAAACAAACAAACAAACAAACAAACAAGAAGCUGGCUAAGUAUUGUUCACUAAGGUUUACAUUGUUGUUAAAGGAAGACCGAAACUUAGCCGAUCCAGUGUGUGUAGAUGCAGAUGCUUGCCAGAGAGGGGAGCAAGGUGUCAGUUCCGUGUUGGUGGAGAGGAAGAAGUCGGCACUUGCUGUUUUGUUUCUCUUGCUUUUGCCUGAAGUCAGCUCCUAGAUUUCGGCUGUGCCCCAGGUUUACAGGACAUUCUAAACGCUACCAGUCAGUGUUCUGUCCUUUUCCUGAAAGGACAGGGGAAAAAAAAAAGUUCAAAGCUAAACCCUGAUUCCCAGAGAACUGCAGUUUCUUUAGCAAGACGAUUUCAUGCGCAAUUCGACUUGAAUGCCACCAUUAUGAACAAAAGAAUCUGCACACGGAUGCUUUUGACAAACAUGGCUUUAGAAAACCCGAGUCUGGGUGGUGCGGAGCAGCCUCUCCCCUCCCUGGAUGGACUCUGAAACAAAGCCAAGUGAUGGUAGAGUGGACCAGAGGAGUCAGUGGACCAUGGAGUCAGAGGGACCACAAUCAACACAUAAAAGAAACCAACGACAAGAAAGACUGGAUUAUCCUGCAAGAGCUGCAUGUGAGGGACAGAGCAUGUGGGUGAA